rnacentral:rRNA from 1 species
AACGAACGCUGGCGGCAGGCCUAACACAUGCAAGUCGAACGCCGUAGCAAUACGGAGUGGCAGACGGGUGAGUAACGCGUGGGGACAUACCCUCCGGUUCGGAAUAACUCAGGGAAACUUGAGCUAAUACCGGAUGCGUCCAAGGUUUUAAUCGGCCUUGGAGAAAGAUUUAUCGCCGGAGGAUUGGCCCGCGUCUGAUUAGCUUGUUGGUGAGGUAAUGGCUCACCAAGGCGACGAUCAGUAGCUGGUCUGAGAGGAUGAUCAGCCACAUUGGGACUGAGACACGGCCCAAACUCCUACGGGAGGCAGCAGUGGGGAAUAUUGGACAAUGGGCGCAAGCCUGAUCCAGCCAUGCCGCGUGAGUGAUGAAGGCCUUAGGGUUGUAAAGCUCUUUACCCGGGAGGAUAAUGACGGUACCGGGGAAUAA